UAUGACCGCAUCACGUUGAAACUACCGAUUCCCGUACGAUCACUGAAGUUAAGCCACAUUGAGCUUAGUCAGUACCUCGAUGGGUGACCGUUUGGGAAUACGAGGUGAUGUAA